rnacentral:rRNA from 1 species
CAAAAUGGGUGGUAGACUUCACCUAAGGCUAAAUAUCAGCGAGAGACCGAUAGCGAACAAGUACUGUGAAGGAAAGAUGAAAAGAACUUCGAAAAGAGAGUUAAAUAGUACGUGAAAUUGUUGAAAGGGAAACGAUUGAAGUCAGUCAUGCUAGUGAAAAUUCAGUUUGGUGGGUUUUGGGUUCAGGAGUUGAGGCAGGGUCAAACCGUUUCUCUUUUGAACUUGGAAUUUGUCCGAUGCACUUUUUCUUUGGCAGGUCAGCGUCGAUUUCGGAGGUUGUAAAAUACUUGGGGAAAAGUAGCUCUGCUUCGGGAGAGUGUUAUAGACCUUGGGCGAUGCAGCCUGUGGGAUCGAGGAUUGCAGCAAAUACCUUUGGCUUGUCGCCUGAUCUCUGGACGUCAUCUCGCUUGUAUCAACAUUCUUGGUGCCGGUGAGUAAUGGUGCUCAUAAGGUUAGAGCGAUCAA